rnacentral:rRNA from 1 species
AACGGCUCACCAAGGCAACGAUGCGUAGCCGACCUGAGAGGGUGAUCGGCCACACUGGGACUGAGACACGGCCCAGACUCCUACGGGAGGCAGCAGUAGGGAAUCUUCCGCAAUGGACGAAAGUCUGACGGAGCAACGCCGCGUGAGUGAUGAAGGUUUUCGGAUCGUAAAGCUCUGUUGUUAGGGAAGAACAAGUACCGUUCGAAUAGGGCGGUACCUUGACGGUACCUAACCAGAAAGCCACGGCUAACUACGUGCCAGCAGCCGCGGUAAUACGUAGGUGGCAAGCGUUGUCCGGAAUUAUUGGGCGUAAAGGGCUCGCAGGCGGUUUCUUAAGUCUGAUGUGAAAGCCCCCGGCUCAACCGGGGAGGGUCAUUGGAAACUGGGGAACUUGAGUGCA